CAAUAGCGUAUAUUAAAGCUGUUGCGGUUAAAAAGCUCGUAGUUGGAUUUCUGUCAAGUACAACUGGUCCGCCCUCCGGGUGAGCACAUAGUUUGGUCUUGGCAUCUUGCUGGAAAUUGUUGCUGCACUUGGCUGUGUGGCGCAGUGUCCAGCACUUUCACUUUGAGGAAAUUGGAGUGUUUCAAGCAGGCAAUGCCUUUGAACACAGUAGCAUGGAAUAAUUAGAUUGGGCUUUUGCUCCAAUUUGUCGGUUUCUGGAGCUGAGGUGAGAAUUAAUGGGGAUUGUUGGGGGCAUCCGAAUUUAGCCGUCAGAGGUGAAAUUCUUGGACCUUGGGAAGACGAACAGCUGCGAAAGCGUUUGCCUAGGACGUUCUCUUUAA
rnacentral:rRNA from 1 species